rnacentral:rRNA from 1 species
AAACAUAACCUUUAGCCAAACAAGUAUUAAAGGCAACGCCUGCCCAGUGAACAAUUCAACGGCCGCGGUACCCUAACCGUGCAAAGGUAGCAUAAUCAUUUGUCUAUUAACUGUAGACCUGUAUGAAUGGCAAAAUGAGGGUUUAACUGUCUCUUAUAAUAAGUCUAUUAAACUGAUCUCCUAGUAAAAAAGCUAGAAUAUUCCCAUAAGACCAGAAGACCCUGUGAAGCUUAAACUAAACUAUUAAACCCAAUAAUAACUACUUUCGGUUGGGGCGACCUUGGAAAUAAAAACAACUUCCAAUUUAUGUGAUGCACCACACCCACUAGGCCCACAAGCCAAUUAACGACCCAGUACUACUGAUAAUAGAACAAAGUUACUCCAGGGAUAACAGCGCUAUCUUCUUCAAGAGCCCAUAUCAAAAAGAAGGUUUACGACCUCGAUGUUGGAUCAGGACAUCCUAAUGGUGCAGCCGCUAUUAAGGGUUCGUUUGUUCAACGAUUAAUGUCCUACGUGAUCUG